UACGUAGGGUGCAAGCGUUGUCCGGAAUUAUUGGGCGUAAAGGGCUCGUAGGCGGUCUGUCACGUCGGGAGUGAAAACUCAGGGCUUAACCCUGAGCCUGCUUCCGAUACGGGCAGACUAGAGGUAUGCAGGGGAGAACGGAAUUCCCGGUGUAGCGGUGAAAUGCGCAGAGAUCGGGAGGAACACCCGUAGCGAAGGCGGCACUCUGGGCCGGUACUGACGCUGAGGAGCGAAAGCGUGGGGAGCGAACAGG
rnacentral:rRNA from 1 species